AUGGCUCAGGAUGAACGCUGGCGGCGUGCUUAACACAUGCAAGUCGAACGGAGUGUGCUUUAUGAAGCUUCGGCAGAUUAGCUGCACACUUAGUGGCGGACGGGUGAGUAACGCGUGGGUAACCUGCCUCAUACAGGGGGAUAGCAGCUGGAAACGGCUGAUAAAACCGCAUAAGCGCACACUACCGCAUGGUAGAGUGUGAAAAAACUCCGGUGGUAUGAGAUGGACCCGCGUCUGAUUAGCUUGUUGGUGAGGUAACGGCCCACCAAGGCGACGAUCAGUAGCCGGCCUGAGAGGGUGAACGGCCACAUUGGGACUGAGACACGGCCCAAACUCCUACGGGAGGCAGCAGUGGGGAAUAUUGCACAAUGGGGGAAACCCUGAUGCCAGCGACGCCGCGUGAAGGAUGACGUAUUUCGGUAUGUAAACUUCUAUCAGCAGGGAAGAACAAGUGACGGUACCUGACUAAGAAGCCCCGGCUAACUACGUGCCAGCCGCCGC
rnacentral:rRNA from 1 species